rnacentral:rRNA from 1 species
GACGGGGGAGGCAAGCGUUAUCCGGAAUUAUUGGGCGUAAAGGGUACGUAGGCGGCUGGUCAAGUCUGGGGUCAAAGGCCACAGCUCAACUGUGGGAAGGCCCUGGAAACUGACCGGCUAGAGUGAGGUAGGGGUUGCGGGAAUUCCCGGUGUAGCGGUGAAAUGCGUAGAGAUCGGGAAGAACACCUGAGGCGGAAGCGCGCAACUGGGCCUCAACUGACGCUGAGGUACGCAAGCUAUCGGGGCGAAUGGG